rnacentral:lncRNA from 1 species
GGCUCGAGAGUCAAAUUCCUCACAACCAAUCCCCGAAAUCGAAUUUUCUGACGCAGGAACCGUAGAUCGGAGAUCAUCCAAGAAACCAUGGGAAACACAGAGAAACUGAUGAACCAAAUCAUGGAAUUGAAGUUUACCUCGAAAUCCCUCCAACGCCAGGCGAGAAAGUGCGAGAAAGAGGAGAAAGGCGAGAAACUCAAGGUCAAGAAAGCGAUCGAGAAGGGCAACAUGGACGGAGCCCGUAUCUACGCCGAGAACGCCAUCCGCAAACGCACCGAGCAGAUGAACUACCUCCGCCUCUCCUCACGCCUCGACGCCGUCGUCGCCCGCCUCGACACACAGGCCAAGAUGACCACCAUCAGCAAGUCCAUGGGCUCCAUCGUCAAGUCUCUCGAAUCUACUCUUGCCACCGGCAAUUUGCAGAAGAUGUCCGAGACGAUGGACCAGUUCGAGAAGCAAUUCGUCAACAUGGAGGUUCAGGCCGAGUUUAUGGAGAGUUCCAUGGCUGGAUCGACCUCGCUUUCGACUCCGGAGGGAGAGGUCAACAGUUUGAUGCAGCAAGUGGCGGAUGAUUACGGCCUGGAGGUGUCGGUGGGGCUGCCACAGCCGGCGGCGCACGCGGUUCCGGCCAAGGCGGAGAAGGUCGACGAGGACGAUCUUUCCAGGAGGCUUGCAGAGCUCAAGGCCAGAGGUUGAUCGGAAUUGAAUGCUAGGGUAAAUGUUUUGAUGUUAUCUUCGAUAUUUGGAAUGGAGUUUAUAGCAUAUUGGAAAGACUUAUCGUGUAAAUUUAAACGAAU